GGCUAAUCUCUCUUCUUUUACUUUGGAUUUCUUGUAAGACUUUUCCUUUUAAGUUAUAAUCUUAAGUUCUUUCCCACAUGUUCUUCUUCUUCCCUUGAAUCCCAUAUCCAUGCUUUAUGUUUCAAGUUAGAACAUGUGCUAGCUUUAUGCUUUUCUAUAAUAGAACGGAAGUUUGUUAUAGAUUAGGGAUUUGUUAUGGGAUUACCUCUUCUAUACUUGCUACUAGGAAUAGAGGAAGGGUUGGGGUUUGUUGGCCUGAAUUCUAUAAUCUUUAUGCUUCAAACAAAUGUUUAAGUACACAAGGAAUUGGGCUUAUCUUUUGGUUUGAAAGAAUUAUCUAUGCGAGGCAUCGAUAGGUAGUUGCUUAGGCUAUAACAUCAAGGAGAGAUUCAUGAGAACAUGUGCUUAGAAUGAUGUGCUUGAAUUGAUUAGUUGAGCAAGAACCCAAAGUAAAUCACUCUUUCUUUUCAUUUUCUGUUUCAUUUCUGA
rnacentral:lncRNA from 1 species